GUCCUCAUGCUUCAGAGGACAUGACCAGCUAUAUGAAGCUAAUAGUGCUUUAAUCUUUAUAUAUCUUUACAUAUAUAUAACGUGCUCUAUUCACAGAUAACUGCAGAGGAAGAUGUCAGAGGUCAACGUACCGAAGCGCAAGGAGAAGUGUGAGAACUGCACCAAACAGUGCAACAAGAAGCAGAGUGAAGAUGGUGCCGACUCACACCUG